rnacentral:rRNA from 1 species
GAUGAACGCUGGCGGCGCGCCUAACACAUGCAAGUCGAACGGCACCCCUCUCCGGAGGGAAGCGAGUGGCGAACGGCUGAGUAACACGUGGAGAACCUGCCCCCUCCCCCGGGAUAGCCGCCCGAAAGGACGGGUAAUACCGGAUACCCCGGGGUGCCGCAUGGCACCCCGGCUAAAGCCCCGACGGGAGGGGAUGGCUCCGCGGCCCAUCAGGUAGACGGCGGGGUGACGGCCCACCGUGCCGACAACGGGUAGCCGGGUUGAGAGACCGACCGGCCAGAUUGGGACUGAGACACGGCCCAGACUCCUACGGGAGGCAGCAGUGGGGAAUCUUGCGCAAUGGGGGGAACCCUGACGCAGCGACGCCGCGUGCGGGACGGAGGCCUUCGGGUCGUAAACCGCUUUCAGCAGGGAAGGGUCAAGACUGUACC